GUUUUUUAGCCAAAGUGGCCUGCUAUAUAAGACAGCACGGGCAGUAUCAAAGUUAAGUUUGUGUCAAAGUUGCAUAAGCCAAUAUCAAAAUGUUCAAACUGUUGUUCGUCGCCCUUUGCGCCAUUUUGGCUGUAGCUAUUGCCGCCCCCGCCCCUCAACCCCUUCUAACCUCACUUGUCAGCCCAUACUCCGCAGUCGUUGCGCCAUCUGUCUACAGUAGCUACGUCCCAGCUGUUUCCAUUAUUUAAAAUGACUGAUUAUUAUUAGCUCGGCUUGGACUAUGAAAUAAAUCUAUUGCUCAUCAAC